UGCUCGUCGUUCCCUCUCCAAUUCCGCCUCCUCCCUGCACCCCGCUUUGAACUCCUUCAUGGGCUGGGAUCGGAUUUAUCGAGCCUGGUGAGAAUGGCUGAGGUGUGGCUGUCAGAGGGUGUGCCCCUGCGGUUCCUGUCCGAGUAGUGUUCACGCAUGCCCGGUGGUGGCCGUUGGGGUCACGGCCCCUCUACCCGCCCCAGGCACGCGGGAAUGGGACAUGAGCUAGUCACUGCCCUUGUGCCUUUCCUCCUCUCUCCGCUGCCCGGGUCAACCAGCCGACAGUGGCGGAACGGCGGGCAGGUCGACGGAGUUAGAUGGCGGCAAAGGUGGGCCGGCUCGGUGUGAUAAGGUUCCAACUGGGUCUGAUCGCUUCUGUCCGCGAGCGCCGGGUCCACCAGAUGUAGGCGGCCAGCGUUGGACUUGACGGUCAACUUGGGAUUUCUAAGGAAAAUGGUGUCUCGUUCUGUCGCCCAGGCUGUGGCAUGGUCUUGGCUGGCUGCAAUCUCCGCCUCUCUGGUUCCAGCGAUUCUCCUGCCUCAGCCUCCCAAGUAGCUGAAAUUACAGAACCCAGAGUUGAUCUCUGCACCACGCCAUCACUGCCGGGGGUGAGGAAAUUCUGGCACCAGUGACUCAGCACUGUUUUUUUCUCUCUCUUUAGUGCCUCUUUCAGUGAUAUGAAGUUAAAACCAGGAUGGAUGAUUGGUGGAGCCUUCUUUCUGCCAUCUUGCUUUACCCUCACACCCAAGAAUCAGAAUGCAGAACUUUUAAUAAGAAAAGCUUUCAGAACUCAGGAAGGACCAGGAAGAUAUUCUGGUUCUCCAUGCUUAACAUUGGACUGUUUCUUCAACUUAGGUGCAUAGCACUGACUAAUCAGGGAUUAUCACAGAUAAUUUGACUUGGACUAUGGAGUUCAUUCAAAUACUUUAGACAAUUUAAGUGCUGGCUGAUUUGGCAGGAAAAUCUGGCAAAGUAUUUUCUUGGUAUUCAAUUGAUUUUUAUUCUGCUUAGGUUAGCAGUUUUAUAAAACAGUCAGUCUCUUCAUUAAAUUUCUGGGAAUUCUUACCUAGUUCAAAUGAUAAUGAUUCUAAAGUUCUCAAAAAUCUGUAUUCAAGAAUGCUUCUCAGGACCUUUUCCAUCCUUUCAUGAAACUCCUUAAAGAUACAAUAUUCUAGGAUUUUGCAAGCUUGUAAAUUUUUAGAAAUCGACUCAGAAUUAAGCAAUUUACAGUGGACAUGACUUUAAAUUGUCAUAGUUAGACACAAUUGACAAGAAAAUUUUAUUUACAGGUGUGAGCCACUGCGACUGGCCUCUGAAGUUAAUUUAAUAAAACUUCAUAAAUAAAUGUAUCAAAUGUGUCAUCUUUUCAUCCCAGAUUUUUGUGAAUCUAUGCCUUGCAUUUUCCCCCAACUUUCUAUAUUUAUGCCUGUAAUCCCAGCACUUUGGGAGGCCGAGGUGGGCGGAUCACGAGGUCAGGAGAUCGAGACCAUCCUGGCUAACACGGUGAAACCCUAUCUUUACUAAAAAUACAAAAAAUUAACCAGGCAUGGUGGUGGGUGCCUGUAGUCCCAGCUACUCGGGAGGCUGAGGCAGGAGAAUGGCAUGAACCUGGGAGGCACAGCUUGCCGUGAGCCGAGAUUGCGCCACUGCGCUCCAGCCUGGGCGACAGAGCGAGACUCCAUCUCAAAAAAAAAAAAAAAAAAAAGAAAAAAAGAAGAAAAGCAUGUCUUGCUUUUUA
rnacentral:lncRNA from 1 species